rnacentral:lncRNA from 1 species
AUGUAGCUUGAGCGAAAAUGUUAACUUUAUCUAAACAUGUAGCUUGAGCGAAAAUGUUUCAACUUUCUUAAUCCAAUAUCGCUCUUUUGGGUGUUAACUUUAGCUUUGGUAAACAAAUAUGGUAUCUUUGGUAGAUAAAAUUUGUGCUUAAAAAGGUAUAUACAAUACUGGCUUUUGGGACGAUGGAUUAGUUAGUGCCACAUAAAAGAGAAGAGAACCAUUUGUCAAUCAUAUAUAUGCUAAAUAAAACUAGAUGAUAAGGCUGAUAAUAUGUUUGGCCAAAUUUGUAAGAGUUUGUUUGACUAAAUAUUUGGGAGGUCAAAAGAUUUUAUUUUAUUUUUUGUCAAAAAAAACUUUUUGAAAAUUUAUUGUGUUUGGCCGGCAGAGUCUUUUGAGUAGCAGCAAAAGAAGUAUUUAUGCUUUUGGGAAGAAGUUACAAAUUCUAGCUUCUUCCCAUAACUAGAAGGAGAAGCAGAAAACUAAUUUUUAACACAAAAAUAUCCUUAUUAUAAAUUAAUAUAUUCCAAAUUAUCAUUUAUUAAUUUAACUUUUUUUUCUUUUCCUUUUUUGUUUUUACCAUUCUUUUCUUCUUUAUUUAUUUAUUUUAUUUGUGUCGUAUAUUUAUUCUCAUUUUCCUAUUCUUCUUUGAAAUAAUUUCUAUAACGACUCGGUCGGUCGUUUUGAAUAUUUUAGCACCGAUCCUGUCACGCCCCUAGCCCGGGGGCGAAAACGGGCCCUAGUGCCUCAUCUAUCCUUGCGUACCACUUGCGACUAAGAGACUCUGAACAUGUAAUGUCAUACUUUGGCUAUGAGUCACAUUACAAGAUAAUGUGUGAUGCAAAAUAUAAAAUUAAAUGGAGACUAACACUGACUAAUGUCAACAUAAAGUUGGGCCGGCAAGGCCGUCAUAAUUACUACAACUAACAGGCCAACAAAAUAUACGUACAGGGCCUACAAGCCCAACAUUCUGCACUAACCCACAUGAUAUGUCUACAAUCCUCUACUUAUAGAUGUACUGUGAUCAGAACAGGGCCCUGACCUACCCAUAACCUAUCUACAUAUAUACACAAGAUAUACACCACACUGCUAGACCCGCCAACUCCGAAAGAAGGGGAGCUUACUGAUAAAGCUGAACUCGGGCAACACCUACUUUGGAGGUCUACCCGUCUGUCUGUCUGAACCUGCACGUAUGAAAUGCAACGCCUCCAGAAAGGGACGCCGGUACGAAAUAAUGUACCGAGUAUGUAAGGCAAUAUACUGAAAGCUUGAAAUAGAACUGAUGAUAUAAUAUCUGAAAGCAACUGGGGAUCAAAGAUAAUUUGAAGAUAUGCUCAUCAGCUGAUAUUGACUCAACUCUCUCAAUAUAGUGAGUAAAAUAGCUCGGUAUACAUAUAUAUCUACUUUGCCGUAGUAGGCUCGCUCAUAAGCACUCGGCCAUACUAGGCUUUGUAUCUCGAUCAACUGGGCUCGCUCAUAGGCGCUCGGUCACAUUAGGCUCGGUAUAUAACUUACCAUCUGAUCAGAGGUUGCCCAAUAGAGGUCUGCCCAUCGAUUAUAGCUCGAUGGUAAUGAAAGUACUUUUAAUAUACUGUAUAUAUGUAAGCUCUCUGCUCUUUUGAUCGGAAGAAGGAAAUACUCAACUGAAUAUGCAGUCCCGAUAAGAAGAAUAUGAUAACUUACAAAACUAGAAAAAUAUAUGUAAUUUGCGAGACUAGAAAAAUAUAUACAAAUUCCGGGAUACGAAUUUUUCUUUAUGCCUCGUUAUCAAACUUGUGUAAUUACGAUAUCAUGCUAAAAUAAAGGAAAAGUUUAGCCUUAACAUACCUGUUCCUGGAAUUAUUUGAACGGAAUGAAGCUUCUGCCUCCGUGAAAUAUGAACGAAAUUCUGACUGAAUCCUUUGAAAUUGAACGAAAUUGUGGUGGCUCUAUCGAAAUUUGUUUAUCUAGGGGUUGAAUUGUUUGGACAGAAUUGUUUCAAAUGAAGCUUGAGUUGUUGAAAAUGAAAUGUUUCUACUUUUCAACAUUCUUGGCUUUAAAUGCCAAGGCAGAUUGUGGUUCCUUUGAAGUCUUUACAAAACUUCCUAUUAAAUGCUAUAGAUAAGAUUUAUAAAUCUUAUCAAGUCUUAAGUAUGACUUGGUUAUCAUAUUUUAG